rnacentral:rRNA from 1 species
AUUGAACGCUGGCGGCAGGCCUAACACAUGCAAGUCGAGCGGAGCGCCGGACGCGGGCGUCAUGGUUAGGCAUCUGCCUGUUGGUGGGGGAGGACGUUCGCUACGGGGCGCUAAUACCGCUUCCUAUCAGAUGCGCCUAGGGGGGAUUAGCUAGAUGGUGGGGUAAAGGCAUACGAAGGCGACGAUCCGUAACUGGUCUGAGAGGAUGAUCAGUCACACUGGAACUGAGACACGGUCCAGACUCCUACGGGAGGCAGCAGUGGGGAAUAUUGCACAAGGGGCGAAAUCCUGACCCAGCCAUGCCGCGUGUAUGAAGAAGGUCUUCGGGUUGUAAAGCACUUUAAGUUGGGAGGCGUUACCAACAGAAGAAGCACCGGCUAACUCCGUGCCAGCAGCCGCGGUAAUUC